rnacentral:rRNA from 1 species
CCUACGGGAGGCUGCAGUGAGGAAUAUUGGUCAAUGGGAGAGAUCCUGAACCAGCGAAGCCGCGUGAGGGAAGACGGCCCUAUGUGUUGUAAACCUCUUUUGUCGGAGAACAAAACCCGGGACGUGUCCCGGACUGCGUGUAUCCGAAGGAACAGCAUCGGCUAACUCCGUGCCAGCAGCCGCGGUAAUACGGAGGGUGCGAGCGUUCUCCGGAUUUAUUGGGGUUAAAGGGUGCGUAGGCGGUCGGAGAAGUUAGAGGUGAAAUCCCGGGGCUUAACUUCGGAACUGCCUCUGAUACGGUUCGGCUAGAGAGUAGGUGCGGUAGGCGGAAUGUAUGGUGUAGCGGUGAAAUGCUUAGAGAUCAGACAGAACACCGAUGGCGAAGGCAGCUUACCAAGCUACUUCUGACGUUGAGGCACGAAAGCGUGGGGAGCAAACAGGAUUAGAUACCCCAGUAGUC